CCAAUAGCGUAUAUUAAAGUUGUUGCAGUUAAAAAGCUCGUAGUUGAAUUUCGGGAUCAAUAUGUUGGUCGUGCCUUGGUACGUACUAAUUUAUUGGUUUCUUCCUUCUGACGAACCAUGAUGUCAUUAAUUUGGUGUCUUGGGGAAUCAGGACUGUUACUUUGAAAAAAUUAGAGUGUUUAAAGCAGGCUCACGCUUGAAUACAUUAGCAUGGAAUAAUGAACUAGGAUGUUUGAUUCUAUUUUGUUGGUUUCUAGGAUCGACGUAAUGAUUAAUAGGGAUAGUUGGGGGCAUUAGUAUUCAAUUGUCAGAGGUGAAAUUCUUGGAUUUAUUGAAGACUAACUACUGCGAAAGCAUUUGCCAAGGAUGUUUUCAUUAAUCAAGAACGAAAAUUAGGGGAUCGAAGACGAUCAGAUACCGUCGUAGUCUUAACCAUAAACUAUGCCGACUAGGGAUCGGAUGAUGUUAAUUUUUUAAUGACUCAUUCGGCGCCUUACG
rnacentral:rRNA from 1 species